GAUUUCGAUACGAUCGGGAUUUUGAUUGACGAGAUUUCGAUUGGCACCGUUCUAAUUCACGUAGCCUUAAACGAUUGCACUUUUAAAUUUAUAUUUUCAAUGCGUAUUGCUAAUUUACUCAAUUAUUUGCUUAAGUUUACUUUGGAUUUUUUGUUUGUUUUUUUGAAUAUUAUGAAAUUAUUCGUAUCUUUUCAACUUCAUUUGUCGUCACGUGUUCGUUUAUGCAGGCACACACAGACACGUCAAUCUGGUUUAAUUUUGUUUUUUUUUUUAAAUUUCGGCUACGUGCGUUUAACAUAGGUUUUAGUUUAAUUGGUUUAUUUACGUUUAGCAAUUGGAAGCCAAGCUAGGACAACAUAGGCUAGAGUAUCGGAGCAGCACGGAGAACAUCAGGAAUCGACAACCACCAACUCGUGGCAGGAUGUCCCCAUCGUUGCAACCUCUGAAGUAAAUUAAUAACGUUUUAGUGAAUAAUUACAAUUUUAAGAAUGAGAGAGUGAGA